AGUAACAACGUGGGUAACCGUACCUAUAAGAACUGGGAGUAACUUCGGGAAACCGGGAAGCUAAUACAGGAUAAUAUUUCGAACCGCAUGGUUCGAUAGUGAAAGGUGGUUUUGCUAUCACUUAUAGAUGGACCCGCGCCGUAUUAGCUAGUUGGUAAGGUAACGGCUUACCAAGGCGACGAUACGUAGCCGACCUGAGAGGGUGAUCGGCCACACUGGAACUGAGACACGGUCCAGACUCCUACGGGAGGCAGCAGGU
rnacentral:rRNA from 1 species